ACGCUCGACACCUACGGAAGGCAGCAGUGGGGAAUAUUGCACAAUGGGGGAAACCCUGAUGCAGCGACGCCGCGUGAGCGAAGAAGUAUUUCGGUAUGUAAAGCUCUAUCAGCAGGGAAGAAAAUGACGGUACCUGACUAAGAAGCCCCGGCUAACUACGUGCCAGCAGCCGCGGUAAUCUGAGCGGGCUGGCAAGGC
rnacentral:rRNA from 1 species